UUCUGAUAAAGGAGCAAAACCACAGCACUGUCCAUAAAACAUCAGAACUAUAAGCAUUUGAGGAAGAGCUGCUUCUUGCCUGAAAACGCGUAGCUUUGGGCUUAAAAUACCCAUAGCCUGAAGAGUGGAGACACUGUGACCUACGUGAAUAAGUACAAGUUUCCUGUUCACUUGUGUAAUGGUGGCGUUUCCUGUUUUCCUCCGGGCUCAGAAGGCGUGGUGCCGUCCACCAUCUGUACCUCUGUAACUUUCACAUGGUUCCCAGCAUGGUGUCCAGCACGUAGCAGACAUUCAACAAACAUUUCCUGAAGUAAUGUAUGUUCAUAUUUGCCAAAUAAUUUAGCAGACACACCGUAUACCUAGCAGGAUUUCCAAGAACAGUUAAUAAAUUUGGUAGAUCGGAAUGGAGCUGACUAAAACUAGAGACACUGUACACCGAGGAAGAUGAUGUAAACAUUCGGGAGUAAAUCCUGAAUAAAGAAGACGGCUCUACAGUGAGCUCCAAAGCUAGCAGACCCAUGCUUUCUUUAGGCAUGGGGAAUAACUUCUACAUUUUCCACUUGAAGUUUCUACUUACAGUGCGGUUAUUAUCAGAAGAGUGUUUCCUGAAGACGGCAAAUAAGCGGUUUCUUUGUAUGUUCAAAAUCUAAAACCAUGCAAGCUGAUCACACACACACAAAAUGGGAUUAUAGAUCUGUAAUGAAGCUUCGCCCCUCCUUUUUUGGCUGAAUUAUUUCCCAUAGGGGUCCCUGACUCCAAAUGUAUUUGCUGAGGGAGAGCUCAACCACUGCACUAGAUUGUAGGAACACACCCCAAGGGCUUGAAGACCUGGCCCCUGGCACACUGUUUGAGGACGGGGCUCUGGCUGCUCACCUGUGAUGCCAAGGGAGGACACACUGAAGUCAGCUCGUCCUAGAAAAGCCCUGGUCCACAGUGGCACCCUAACCGGGGCGGGCACCAAGGCUCUGGGUGUGAACAGAGGCCCCCAAAACAGAGCAGACUCUUUGCCAAGAGGGCAAAUGAUGCCCCUUAAAGCAGCAGCUGGAAAGUGUUUUCAGAAUUGUUUACUCUCCGAGUCUCUGUGGUAGACUGAGUUAUGUACCCCAAUUUGGAAAAGUUCUUAAUCUCAGUCUGCAUUCUUGUGGGUGUGAACCCAUUGUAAGUAAGACCACUUGAAGGUGUUAUUUUUAGUUAAGGUGUGGCCGAGCUGAAUGAGGGUGGGUCUUAAUCAACCGGAAGCAGGUAGUUGGAGAAAGCCACUUAGAAAGAAGCAGAAGUCAGGGGAAACUGGAAGAGCCAAAGAAAGAAAAUGACAUUGCUGUGUGUCUGGAGGAUGAGAUGUAAGCCAAGGAACCCCAAAGAUUUCCAGCAGCCAGCACCAGAAUGGGGGG